AGAUACAAUGCCUAAUCUAUUAAGAUGAACAGGAGUGCAAACAUGACCCAAACGCAUUCUUAUGAUAGAAGAACAUACUAACUUAUUGCAUUUGGCACGGAAAAACCAUGGUUUAAAUGAAAUAAGUGGCUGAAGGUUAAAAUAUUUCCUGCCUUUUGAUUGACCAGUUUCAGUCCAAAGUCUAUUCCAACAAUCCUGAAGGUGAACUAUAGGAAGAGCACCUAGAUCCUGGCAAAAAACUUUAUAAGGGAAAAUGUCGCCAUCGACCACGGCUUCAUUAGCUAGUUGGUCUGCUUUUAUAUUACCAGGAAUGUCGCUAUGGCUGGGGAUCCAUACAAACAACACAGAAAGACCAAAGUGAUUGCAUUUAUUUAAUAGAUUUCUUAUUUCUAUGACAACAGAAGAAAUGUUUUUUGAUUUGAAUGGGGACCUAUUGAGAGACUGUAAGGCACUUUUUGAAUCAGAGAAAAUUAUUGUUUUUGGAAGUUUAAAUAGAAUAAUAUAUUCAAUAGCCUUAAAAAUACCAUAACAUUCCCCAGUAAACACCGAUGUUUCCGGAGGUAGUUUAAUUUUCUGUGAUAUUUUAAAUUGAGCGUGAUAGACACCUACACCAACGGGAUCCGAGGAGGAAUGUUUAGACGCGUCUGUGUAAAUAUGAUGGUAAUCAACCCAAACAGUAUUUUUAAGAAGAUUAAACGAAAAAUUUGUACUAAUAUCGUGCUUAUUUAAAUCUGAGUUAAAAUUAAUUUCUGGAAGCAACAUUAAUGCUUCAAAGCUAGUACUGAAAAGAGGAUAAUAAAUGGAUCGAUGAAUAGGAGCUUUUAUGUUGAUAAAUUUCUUAAAACUAUUGAUUAGACAAGGUGGUUUUUUAUUUGACCAAUAUGCAGAUGAAUCUAUAUAAUGGUUAAGAAGCUGAAAAGAUCGGAAUACAAAUUUGUCUGCUAAAUAUUGGCGACGUAGAUGUAGUGGAGGAUCACCACAUUCUACUUGAAGAGCAUUGAUAGGACUUGACCGCAUAGCACCAGAAACUACUCGUAAAGCUUUGGACUGUAUGAAAUCUAGUUUUUUAAAUGCCUUAACACUACCAGGCUCCAGCAAGAAUGUACCAUAAUCUAAUAUACUUCUUAUAAGAGCAUUAUAUAACAAUUUCAUGCAAAAAGGGUGCGCACCCCACCAAACACCUGACAGACAUCUUAAAAUAUUUAGAGUACGCUCACAUUUAGCAUUUAGGUAAUCACAAUGUGGGAUACCAGUUAGUUUCGAAUCUAAGACAAUUCCCAAAAACUUAACAUUAUCUUUAACUGGAAUCUGAUAACCCUCAUAAAAUAUAGAAAUAGGAGGAGGAGUUCUUGAUCUCGUGAAUAAAACUAUUGUACUUUUUUCAGGUGAUAGAUCAAGGCCAUUUAAGUCCAACCAAUUUUUUAAAUUUAUCAGCGGUUGUGUUAUAGAAGAACUAGCUUUUUCAAUAGAAAUAUCACGACAGUAAAUUAAUAGAUCAUCAGCAUACUGAAGAACAUUUACACUAUUAAGUGAUGAUUUUAAAUCGUGUGUAUAAAUAUUAUACAAUAUUGGGCUAAGUACUGAUCCCUGGGGGAGGCCCUUUGAAACAAGUCGAGUAAUUGACUUCCCGUCAUCUAGUUUCAGGAUUAUGUAUCUUUCGGAAAGCAUGUUUAUGAUAAAAUUUGUUAAUAGCAGAGGUAUAUUAAGUUGUAAAAGCUUACUCUUUAAAAUACUUAUUACGACAUUAUCAUAGGCACAAUUUAUAUCUAAGAACGCAGCUAUUACUGAUUUAUUAUUUGAAAAUGAUAAUUGAAUAUCAGAAAUGAAUAUACUUAAGCUAUCAAUAGUACUUUUCCCACGUCUGAAACCGAAUUGGGAUUCACAUAAUAGACCGUUAUGCUCAACAAACCAUUCUAAACGAUUUUUUAUAAGAUGUUCUGUAAUUUUCAUCAAAACAGAAGAAAGUGCGAUUGGGCGAUAGGCAGAAUGGUCUGAAGAACACCUAUUAGGUUUCAGUACGGGAAUUAUUUCUUGACGUUUCCACGUGGAGGGGAUGUUACCAGAUGUCACUAUGGAAUUUAUAAGAGAUAAAUAAUAAAAUAAAGCAUCAUCAUCUAAAUGAGAGAUAAAGGAAUACGGAAUACCGUCCAGUCCAGGAGCAGAAUCCUUAACAUGAGACAAUACACCUUUUAGUUCAGUGAGAGAAAAUAUACUGUACCAAAACACUUAUCAUUAUUUAUAUUUAUUACAGGGUAACCAAUUAUUAAGCCUUCAGGAACGAAAGGUGGAGCCAAUUUAUCUAAAAAGCUAUCAACUAAAUGAAAAGGGAUUGAUUUUGGAGAUGAAUCUUUGUAUGCAGAUCUAAACCUUCUUAUAUUUUUCCAUACAAGAGAUGGUUUGACAUCAGGUGAUAUUGAAUAGCAGACAUUUUUCCAGCCAUCAAAUUUCUUUUUCUUUAGAAAUUUUGAAGUUUCUGACAUACUCUUUGUAAGAAUUUCAAAAUUCUCAUCAGUGGAACAUUGACAGUAUGUAAUUUCAGCAUAUUUUCUUCUCUUUACUGCCUCAGUACAUUCGUUAUCCCACCAAGGAGGAGAAGGAAUAAAACCCAAAGAGUUUUUACUUGGAAAUAUCUCAUUGGCAACCUCAAUAAAGAUUCUUGCUAAAGAAUCUGCACACUGAGAUUCUGUACCUGGAUUAAUUUUUGAAGUGUUGGAAAUGAUAAUAAUAGUGGGAAGUGAUCACAACCAAAAGUAGAUUGUAAUGGAUCCCAGGACAAAGAAAAAGCAAGAUUAGGUGUAGUGACUGUUAAAUCUGGAGCACUUGGGCCCUCGUCAGGAUGAGAACGUCGUGUAGGACGACCAUCAUUUAAUAUACACAAAUUCAUUGAAUCAAAUAUAUCUAUUAAUGUGUUACCAUAACUAUUAGAAGAUAAGUAACCCCAGGUUUCAUGGCGACAGUUAAAAUCGCCAAGGAUCAUAAAAGGCUUCGGAAGAAUGGAAAUAAUAUCUUUAAUUUCAUUUAAGAUUGCAGAAGAAGGAUGAGGUAUAUAAAUAGAUACAUAACAGAUAUUUUCAACUAAAGCAGCAAUAAUAGAAAAAUCAUUACUGUGAGAAGGAAUAGAGAAGAGAGAAAAGGAAAGAGGGUGUUUCACAAGCAUGGCUACUCCGCCAUGCCCAUCCACACGAUCUUCUCUGAGACAUGAAUAACCCGAAUCUUAAAUAAAGAUCCUGGUUUCAACCAUGUCUCUUGAAGAGCACAGAUAUAAGGUUUAUAUUUAUUGAAUAAAUAAAUAAGAUCACUUUUUUAAGGAGUGAUGCUUUGACAAUUCCAUUGAAGAACUUUGUCCAUUAUUUGGUUUAUAAAUUUGAGUAAUUGCAGAAACUAAUAAGGCAGAGUUGGACGGUGAAAAUUCAUUCGAUUGACUAAGAGAUUUUAUAAGAGAAAUGAUUAAAUCAAUUACUGAGGAUUCUAAA